AAGAGUAAGGGUGCUCAGCGCCCGACCUCCAACCCUUUGUUGUUAAAACUACCUUGUUGCUUUGGCGGGACCGCUCGGUCUCGAGCCGCUGGGGAUUCGUCCCAGGCGAGCGCCCGCCAGAGUUAAACCAAACUCUUGUUAUUAAACCGGUCGUCUGAGUUAAAAUUUUGAAUAAAUCA
rnacentral:misc_RNA from 1 species